GCAAGUCGAGCGAGCGGAACCAACAGAUUUACUUCGGUAAUGACGUUGGGAAAGCGAGCGGCGGAUGGGUGAGUAACACGUGGGGAACCUGCCCCUAAGUCUGGGAUACCAUUUGGAAACAGGUGCUAAUACCGGAUAAUAAAGCAGAUCGCAUGAUCAGCUUUUGAAAGGCGGCGUAAGCUGUCGCUAAGGGAUGGCCCCGCGGUGCAUUAGCUAGUUGGUAAGGUAACGGCUUACCAAGGCGACGAUGCAUAGCCGAGUUGAGAGACUGAUCGGCCACAUUGGGACUGAGACACGGCCCAAACUCCUACGGGAGGCAGCAGUAGGGAAUCUUCCACAAUGGACGCAAGUCUGAUGGAGCAACGCCGCGUGAGUGAAGAAGGCUUUCGGAUCGUAAAGCUCUGUUGUUGGUGAAGAAGGAUAGAGGNAGUAACUGGCCUUUAUUUGACGGUAA
rnacentral:rRNA from 1 species